rnacentral:rRNA from 1 species
AUGUUAGCAUAUUCAGUUGUUGUUCAUUAUAACUUUAUAAUGCCAGAUCUUUCCAUUUCCAACUGGAUUUGGUAUUAUAUAUUGAGUAGUACCCUUUCUUCAUUAUUGCUGUCAAUAUUUCAAACCUCUAGAAAGAAAAGGUUGAUAAUUGUCAAUUCACGUCCUUUUCGUGUGAUCCCACACCAAUCAAUGCUUAGGUUUAACUUGCUCUUCUUUACAAAAAGGCCUACUUGGAUGGUGCUAGACCGAUUAGAAACAAUCUUUAAGAUGAAACCUUUAUUUUUGGUAUGUCGCUUGGGGUUAUGA